AUAUACUGGAUUUAAUAAAAUAUAAUACUAAAAUCAAUUCAUUUUUGUUUUAUAACAUGGCUACUAGAAAAUUCUAAGUUACCAUGCGGCUCAUGUUAAAUUUAUAUUUAUAUAUUAUAUGUUAUAUUUGUAUGUUAUUUUAAAUAUAAAUAUGUUAACCACAAGUCUAUUCUGCAAGUCCAUUAUUUUCUUUUCUGUGGAAAGGUUCAUUUGUGCCUUAUUUUAGAUUGCAGAUAUAAGUGAUAUCAUAUGGUAUUUAUCUUCUGACUUACUUCACUCAGUAUGAGAGUCUCUAGUUCCAUCCAUGUUGCUGCAAAUGGCUUGAUGUGGUUGGGGAGCUUGGGGUUAACAGAUACCAACUAUUGCCUGUGGAAUGGAUUAGCAAUGAGAUCCUGCUGUGUAGCACUGGAAACUAUGUCUAGUCACUUAUGAUGGAGCAUGAUAAUGGGAGAAAAUACAAUGUGUACAUGUAUGUGUAACUGGGUCACCAUGCUAUACACUAAAAAAAAAAAAUUGUAUUGGGGAAAUAACUAUGAAAAAAAUAAUAGUAACAAAAAUAAAAAAUAAAAAAAAUACGGAGCUCCUAUCAUAGCUCAGUGGUUAAUGAAUCCGACUAGGAACCGUGAGGUUGCAGGUUCGAUACCUGGCCUCGCUCAGUGGGUUAAGUGUCUGGCGUUGCCCGUGAGCUGUGGUGUAGGUCACAGACUAGGCUCGGAUCUGGUGUUGCUGUGGCUCUGGUGUAGGCCGGCGGCUAUAGCUCUGAUUAGACCCCUAGCCUGGGAACCUCCAUAUGCCACGGGUACGGCCCUAGAAAAGACAAAAGACAAAAAAAUAAUAAUAAAAAAAAUUAAAAAUAAAUUUUAAAAAGUUUAAACUCUGAAAUAAGUAAAUAAAUAAAUAUAAACAUGUUAUAUUUAUAAGUUAAAUUUAUAUGUUUAACUAUUUAAUGCUUCAGAUUGACCAAGCUGGGUAUCAGACCCACAAUUCAUAUUCUGUUUAUUUGACCCAAAUUUUGUUUUUAACUUAAGGGAAUUUCACCAGAGAAACACUUUCAACAAGAUAUUUUCAAGAAACUCCUCAAGCAAACUCUACAUGUAUUAAAACCUGAAUAAGCAACACUUAAGUAAUAAAAAUGUUCACAGAAAGCUUAAACUAGGAAAUGCAAUACAUAUUUUCAGUAUAAGGCUGAUAAUGAAAAGGGAAAUUAAUCUGUGGAAUAAAAACUAAAAGAGCUAUUGAAAGAAAAUAUAAAUGUUGGGACCAUUAGAAUACUCUAAUUUUCCUUCCAAAAGAGUUGAAAACGUUGUGAAAUACAUAUAAAUUAAUGUAAUUAAUAGGAAUCUGAAUAUUUGAGCUUUUUGGCAAUUCUUUGUAUCAGCUGUUCCACAGCAAUAACUCCAGGUCAUCCUGCUGCAAAAGCUGUGACUCUAGGGUGACUCAUUUUGUCCCACAUCAUCUUUGUGUCUUUGCCCAACCUUCUCACUUAGCCUAGACCAUGCCCUCACCCCACUUUGACAAUACUUGCAUUUAUAUUCCCCUUUUCCUAAAACCCACAUCUGAAAAACAUGGGGUGUCUCCAAGGAGAGAUCAGCGUACACUUAAGGACUACUAAGUUAUUAGAAACUUGCAUUUCUAGAAAUCUAGAUGGCAUGAAUAUCCCUCACCUAUCUUGAAACAGGUAUCUUGGGGGUGGCCUGCAUUGUAGGAAUAACAGGCCUUUGCUGCUCAGGCCCACUAAGAACUUACCCAAGGGCCCAAACUGAAAAGUCACUACUCCUACAGACCUUGCUCCAAAAUGCCAGACAACUAGUCUCCUAAGUUCCAUGAAAUGUCCAAAAUUGUUUUUUAAAAUCCUGAUAUCACAAAAAGAUUAUUUUUAAAACCACAGGGGUGUCAUAUGGAAGUUCCCAGGCUAGGGCUCGAAUCAGAGCUACAGCUACUGGCCUAUGCCACAGCCACAGCCACAGCCACACCAGAUAUGAGCUAUGUCUGCACACUAUGCAACAGCUUGUGGCAAUGCCAGAUCCUUAACCACUGAACAAAGCCAGAGAUUGAACCUGAAUCCUCAUGGAUACUAGUCGGGUUCAUUUCCACUGAGCCACAAUGAGAACUCCAAAAAAAAAAAAAAAGCAGUAUCUUUGAGUGUUUCCUCUGUGCCAGGCAAUGGCUUAAGGGGAUACUCAUUUUCUCAUAAUUUUAAACUUCCAUAAAUUGAGAAAAUGGCAUGAUGCACUCUGCUGUACCCAUCACAGUGUCAAGUAUCUGUCUAUCGCCAAUCUUGUCUCAUCUACAAGCUGGUCCAUUCCUCACAACCCCUACUUGAUUAUUUGAAACAGAUACACAUAUUAUUUCAUCUAUAGUAUUUCAGUAUGUGUCUCUAAAAACAAUUAUGUUUUAAACAUGAAGUUGUAGCAUAGAUGUAAUGUAAAGAACAUAAUUCCAUGUGCACAGCUUGAUGAAUUUUUGCAAGUGUAGCUACUCGUGUAACCAUCACACAGAUUCAGAGACAGCAUAUUCUCAGCCUCAUAGAAACCUCUUUCAUGCCUCUCCAGAUCAGUGUCUUUCCAAAUAAAUCUGCCAUACUGACUUAAAAUGCCAAAGAUUGGUUUUGUAUGUUCGUGAUCCUCAUAUGAAUAGGAAUGCAGAGAAUGUGCUCUUUUGAGGCUGGUUUCAUUUGCUCCCAUUAUGUCUAUGACAGCUGCACACGUGGUGAUGUUAGCAGUAAUUUGUUCUUUUAAUUUACAAGUUGUAAUCAAUUACAAAAAUACAGCAAAUUAAUUUCAUCAUUUCUCUUCCUGGAUAUCUGGGCUGGUUCUCAUUAUGGGUCAUAAAGAAAGCUGCUAAGAGUCCCCUUUACACGUUUUUCGGCAGACGUAUGCACUCAUGUCUUUAGAAUAUAGAGCCAGCAGGAGAAUUAAUGGGCUAUGUGGUAGCCAUGUUCUCAGCUUAAUUGAUACUGUCAAACAUUUUUUUUUUAAAUAGUGUGCCAAUUCAUUCUUCUGUCAGCAAGGCAUAAAAUUUAUUACUGCUCCAUAUUCUUGCCAACAUCUAAUUUUGUUCAGUUUAGCCAUAUUUUCACUAGUGAUGUUGAACACCUUAUUGAAUGCUUGCUGGAUAUUAGACUUUCUAUUUUGUGAAGUGCCUAUUCAAAAAAUUUGUCCUUUUUAUGAGAUUUCUAAUUUUUUUUGGAGUUUUGUGAAUCGUCUGUAUAUCAUGCUUAGGCCUAUGGAUUGAUGUUUUUUAAACUCAUCAGUGUCUUCCUUUUCCUAUUGUUUUUUUAUGUCGACUUUUAAAAGCAAAAGUUCCUAAUUUUGUUUUUAAUUUAUUGUUUUCUACAACCAUAGCUGUGGCAUAUGGAAGUUCUCAGGCUAGGGGGUCGAAUCUGAGCUACAGCUACAGCUGCAGGCCUGCGCCGCAGCCAUGGCAACAGAGGAUCUGAGCCACAACUGAGACCUAUGCCACAGCUUGUGGCAAUGCCAGACCCCUAACCCACUGAGCAAGGCCAGGGAUCAAACACACAUCCUCACGGGCAUUAUGUGGGGUUCUUAACCCACUGAGCCACAGUGGGAGCUCCAGUUCUGAAUUUUAGUGAAGUCAAAUUCAUGAUUUCAUUUCUGCUAGGGCUGUUUUGGUUUCAGGAAUCUGCAUACCCCAAUAUCAGGCAGAUAGACAUCAAUGUUCUAUUCUGUAAGUUUCACUCAUGCAUCUUACAAAUGAAGGUUAAUUGCCCAUCUGAAAUUAACCUUUAUCUAUGACUUGAGGUAGGGAACAACACUCCAUUUUUUCAUGUGGCUAUGCAAGUACCUCAGCAUUAUUUUUUGAAAAGAAUGACCAUUGAUCUGUUCUCCUUGCAUUCAUCACAACCCUGUCAUCAUCAAGUGAUUCAUGAGUCUUUUCAGGUUUCUUCAUUUAGUUCCAUUGAUCUGCUUAUCUUGGAAUCAGUCCUCCACUCUUUUAUGGAGAAAGUUUUAAGGUAAAUUUGCAUAGUAAGUACUGUAAUUCAAACAACUUUCUUCUGUUUCCUUGAGGUCGCUUUGGCUCUUUUUGGCCCUUUGUUGUUCAUAAAACUUUAAAAACCUGGGCGAUUUUUGUGAACAAGUAAAAAAUUCUCUUCACUGAUUUUCAGAUUGCAUUUGACAUGUAGGCCAAUUUGGGUAAACUUCAUGUUUUUACAACAUUGGGAUUUCCAGUCCAUUAAAGCACACGAUAGGCCCCAACCCACUGGUGUCUUCUUUACAUUCAAAAAUAUUUAAGUGUACAGAGGCCUUGCGCAGUAUGGAUAGGCAUUUUACUAGGUGUUUUGGUAGAUGCAUUCCAAGAUGGUUUUCACCAAACCAUGUUUAUUUUUGUGUGGAUUUUUAAUUUGUGUUUUCUAGUUUUUAUGGCUAGUGUAUAGAGGUUCUACUGGCUUUGUGUAUCUGACUUGUCAAGCAACCUUUCCAAAUUUAGUAAUUGCUGGUUUUUAAGUUCAGUAAUUAAUUCCAAUGAUACAACUUUUCAUGUCUUUUAAAUAUGUCAACCCACAAUCAAAUAAUAUACAGAUAGUGGCAGACCAUUAUAUUUAUUUAUCCUGUCUUUAUAGCCCUUUCUAGGAUCUCUAGGUCAAUGAUAAACAGGGAUGAAGGGAACGGACAUCCCAUCACACCCUUCAUUUCAACAGAAAAGUUCUCAAUAUUCAAAACAACGUGAUGUUUUCUACAUUCCCUUCACCAAACUAACAAGCGUUUCUGUUCCAAGUGUGCAAGAAUUAUUAAUAGCGAAUGGUAAUUUCAUGUUAUAGAAUGCUUUUUUCUGCAUUACUGACAUGAAAACAUUUUCUUCCACUUGUUCUGAAUAAUGUGGUGGAUUACAUCUGCUAAUUUUCAAUUUUUAAACCAACCUAUAAGAGAGAAUAGUAUAGUUUAUCAUUACUGUAAUAAACCUCCCUUCAUGGUUCUGUGUCUCCUUUACUGUGUUAUUACUCUGUUUACCUAUUUAAUGAUUUUUCUGUUGAUUGUGACUGCAUCAGCCUGUAAUUCAACUUCUUACAAAAAUCUUUUCCGGUUUUGGCAUGAAAGUUAUUCUUCCCUCAUAGCCAAGUUGAGAAUUUUUCCUCCUUUUCUUCUUCUCUGGAUCAGUUUGUGUAAAAUUAGUAUUGUUUAUUUUUGUAAAUGCUUGGAAGAACUUAUUAAUGAAGCUACUUUGCACUGAAUUUUGCCUGUGCAUGUGAUGUUAUUCAUUAUGGAUUCAACGAUUUAUAUUGAAAUAUUCUGUUAUUCUUUUUCUUUUGGUCACAGUUUUUUCAGCUAUGUUUUAAGCAUUAAUAUAUUUAUUUUAUGUAAACUGUUUAUUUUAUUGGCCUAAAGUUCUCUAUGAUGAUUAUUAGUCUUUAUACCUGUUAGAGAGGUACUGAUGUUCCUAUUUUGAAUUGUUAAGUAUGAUAAUUUCCAUUAUUUUCUCUUUCCCU
rnacentral:lncRNA from 1 species